GCUACGAGUAUUCCGGAGCAACGGCCGCUUUGCCGUACAGGUCCGUGCAGACCUGCUCCAGGAUUGAUGUAGCGGCUGGGCCGGCGGCGUUGCUCGGCCUGGUGUAGGGCGAUGGGGCCAUGAGCAGGGUGUAAUGAAAAGCCAGCAACACUUUAUUUUCGUGUUUAUGAUGACGAAUGAAGUUAUAUGGAGUGCAUGAGCAGGUAGGGUGGCGCGGGGCGAACCCAUAGGUAGGCAUGAGCGCAUGAUAAAGGAGAUGGAGACCGGGGCGUAGAAGCCCCUUUGGCAACGAACAUGUGUACGGAGGUUAAAUAUGACGGCUUCACGGCUGGGGUCCUGUCGCAAUCGGAGGAUAUUAGGUCCGUCUUCACCUGCAGUGUCCAUGUGUCCAUGUCACAGUGUCCAUAUCACGUGCAAGCAUUGCCGAAUGCCCCAUUGGUGACCCUCCGUCGUAAAUCGUUUGGCUCCUGACCGUAAUAGUCAAGUACUGUCAACAAGCUUUCGGUUCUGUCCACAGCCUUUCAGUGCCUUGUUAAUACCGAUAGUUGCAUGCCGUGUGGUCGACUGUCAUCCUGGGAGUGGUUAUAUUGAAGAUGCUAGCUGCUAGAUGGGAGGUCCCGAUGCUGGCUGGUAAAGGAAAAGCAACAAGCAUGUGCAAAUCUGGUAACAACAAUCCUUGAAGCUUAAAAAGUACGCUCAAAACUUCAAGCUGUGAAGUUUUUCGUGGGCCUACAGGCUGGCUCUGCGGAAGGCCAGGUUUGUACGGCCAGCGUACGGCUCUUCGAGUCUUUCCGUCAGCUUUGACACACCGGGUUUUCGUCAAAUGAUCCAACAAAGCGCACUGAAAACCUGGGGCGCGUGAAAUAAGGUACACGACUACUAAGUUUGCUCGGACCGAACCUAUGGAGAGUUAGUAGAUCAGGCAUAAUUUUAUUCCCUCCAUAAUGAAAGCUUGAGCAACUCCUCUUUGCACGAUUCACGCCCUUCUGACUUGUACCAUCUUUUCAUACUCAAGCUGUUGAGGUUAAAUAACAGUGUCUUUGUUGUGUUGAAGAGCUUCGAUAUAAAGCGGAAAUGCCGAAAA
rnacentral:lncRNA from 1 species